GACGAACGCUGUCGGCGUGCUUAACACAUGCAAGUCGAACGAAGUGGGAACGGGUGAGUAAUACGUGGGUAACCUCCCUCCUUUUUGGGAUAAGCCUUGGAAACGGGGUCUAAACCGAAUAGCUGGGCUCGCGGCCUAUCAGCUUGUUGGUGGGGUGAUGGCCUACCAAGGCGGUGACUGGUAGCCGGCCUGAGAGGGUGACCGGCCAAACUGGAACUGAGACACGGUCCAGACUCCUACGGGAGGCAGCAGUGGGGAAUCUUCCGCAAUGGACGAAAGUCUGACGGAGCAACGCCGCGUGAGUGAUGACGGCCUUCGGGUUGUAAAGCUCUGUUAAUCGGGACGCGGUACCGGAAUAGAAAGCCACGGCUAACUACGUGCCAGCAGCCGCGGUAAUUC
rnacentral:rRNA from 1 species